UGGGGAAUAUUGCACAAUGGGGGGAAACCCUGAUGCGGCGACGCCGCGUGAGUGAAGAAGUAUUUCGGUAUGUAAAGCUCUAUCAGCAGGGAAGAAAAUGACGGUACCUGACUAAGAAGCCCCGGCUAACUACGUGCCAGCAGCCGCGGUAAUACGUAGGGGGCAAGCGUUAUCCGGAUUUACUGGGUGUAAAGGGAGCGUAGACGGAAUAGCAAGUCAGAUGUGAAAGGCAGGGGCUUAACCCCUGGACUGCAUUUGAAACUGUCAUUCUGGAGUGCCGGAGAGGUAAGCGGAAUUCCUAGUGUAGCGGUGAAAUGCGU
rnacentral:rRNA from 1 species